ACGCUGGCGGCAGGCCUAACACAUGCAAGUCGAGCGGAAACGACACUAACAAUCCUUCGGGUGCGUUAAUGGGCGUCGAGCGGCGGACGGGUGAGUAAUGCCUAGGAAAUUGCCUUGAUGUGGGGGAUAACCAUUGGAAACGAUGGCUAAUACCGCAUAAUGCCUACGGGCCAAAGAGGGGGAYCUUCGGRCCUCUCGCGUCAAGAUAUGCCUAGGUGGGAUUAGCUAGUUGGUGAGGUAAUGGCUCACCAAGGCGACGAUCCCUAGCUGGUCUGAGAGGAUGAUCAGCCACACUGGAACUGAGACACGGUCCAGACUCCUACGGGAGGCAGCAGUGGGGAAUAUUGCACAAUGGGCGAAAGCCUGAUGCAGCCAUGCCGCGUGUAUGAAGAAGGCCUUCGGGUUGUAAAGUACUUUCAGUUGUGAGGAAGGGGGURKYGUUAAUAGCGCYAUCUCUUGACGUUAGCAACAGAAGAAGCACCGGCUAACUCCGUGCCAGCAGCCGCGGUAAUACGGAGGGUGCGAGCGUUAAUCGGAAUUACUGGGCGUAAAGCGCAUGCAGGUGGUUCAUUAAGUCAGAUGUGAAAGCCCGGGGCUCAACCUCGGAACUGCAUUUGAAACUGGUGAACUAGAGUACUGUAGAGGGGGGUAGAAUUUCAGGUGUAGCGGUGAAAUGCGUAGAGAUCUGAAGGAAUACCAGUGGCGAAGGCGGCCCCCUGGACA
rnacentral:rRNA from 1 species